rnacentral:rRNA from 1 species
CGCACGGGUGAGUAACACGUAUGCAACCUGGCCGUCACAGGUGGAUAACCGGAAGAAAUUCCGACUAAUACAGCAUAACACUCCUGAGGGACAUCCUUCGGGAGUCAAAGGAGGCAACUCCGGUGACGGAUGGGCAUGCGGCGCAUUAGGUAGUUGGUAGGGUAACGGCCUACCAAGCCGACGAUGCGUAGGGGUUCUGAGAGGAAGGUCCCCCACACUGGUACUGAGACACGGACCAGACUCCUACGGAAGGCAGCAG